rfam:Paracoccidioides sp. &apos;lutzii&apos; Pb01 unplaced genomic scaffold supercont2.2, whole genome shotgun sequence.
UUAACCUGCUGUGGACAAAUAAAAUGGACAUGAGUAUCUAUGCCACCGGCAGUCACUAUUUUCCCUUCACCAGAAAUGACAUCGGUGCAAGCUCCAACGACCAUCUUCGGAUGGACACCAUCCAUAAUAUCCGGGUUUCCCGCCUUCCCAAUGGCCACAAUAUCACCCCCCUUAAUACCUAUAUCAGCCACGUAAAUCCCACUCCAAUCGAUAAUAAGUGCGCUCGUAAUAACGGUAUCAAGCACAUCAUCCGCACCCCUCCCUGAAGCUUGGCCCAUGCCUUCUCGUAG